AGGGCAUAUGGUGGAUGCCUAGGCACUAAGAGGCGAUGAAGGACGCGACUACCUGCGAAAAGCUGCGGUUAGCUGGAAAUAAGCUUUUACCCGCAGAUGUCCGAAUGGGGUAACCCGGCAGAGGUAAAUGCUCUGUCAUCCGAAAGGAAGCGAACCCGGUGAAGUGAAACAUCUCAGUAACCGGAGGAAAAGAAAGCGAAUGCGAUUCCCUGAGUAGCGGCGAGCGAAACGGGAUUAGCCCAAACCAAUUAGCAUGCUAAUUGGGGUUGUAGGACUGCGACAUUUAACUUGAUCAAUAGUAGAAUCAUCUGGAAAGUAGAGCCAUAGAGGGUGACAGCCCCGUAAACGAAAUUGAGAGAGUCGAUAGCAGUAUCCUGAGUAGCACGGAACAAGAGAAAUUUUGUGUGAAUCUGCCCAGACCACUGGGUAAGGCUAAAUACUCCUUAGUGACCGAUAGUGAACCAGUACCGUGAGGGAAAGGUGAAAAGAACCCUUAAGAAGGGAGUGAAAUAGAUCCUGAAACCAUAUGCUUACAAACGGUGGGAGCGUAAGUGACCACGUGCCUUUUGCUUAAUGAGCCUACGAGUUGCUCGUUACUUGCAAGGGUAAGCUAUUCAGUAGCGGACCCGUAGCGAAAGCGAGUCUUAAUAGGGCGAGAGUAUGUAGCGGCAGACGCGAAACCGGGUGAUCUAUCCAUGGUCAGGAUGAAGCGUAGGUAACACUACGUGGAGGUCCGAACCAGUACAGGUUGAAAACUGUUUGGAUGAACUGUGGAUAGGGGUGAAAGGCCAAUCAAACUCGGUUAUAGCUCGUACUCCCCGAAAUAUAUUUAGGUAUAGCCUCGUAAUAGUUUACCGGAGGUAGGGCACUGAUAGGGUUAGGGCUGUUAAAACGGUACCGACCCCUGACAAACCACGAAUUCCGGCUAAAUGUUUUACGGGAGUCAGGCUGCGGGAGAUAAGUUUCGUAGCCGAGAGGGAAACAACCCAGAUCGACAGCUAAGGUCCCUAAGUAACUGCUAAUAGAGAAAGGAUGUUUAAUUGCACAGACAGCCAGGAUGUUGGCUUAGAAGCAGCCAUUCAUUUAAAGAGUGCGUAAUAGCUCACUGGUCGAGCGAUUAAGCGCCGACAAUCCUCGGGACUAAGCAGUUCACCGAAGCUUCGGGAUUAAUUUAUUAAUCGGUAGGGGAGCAUUCCAUCGACGUUGAAGGUGCAUCGUGAGGUGUGCUGGAGUUUAUGGAAGAGCAAAUGUAGGCAUAAGUAACGAUAAAUGGAGUGAGAAUCUCCAUCUCCGUAAACCUAAGGUUUCCAACAGCUCUGAUCGUCAACUGUGGGUUAGUCGGCCCCUAAGGCGAGGCCGAGAGGCGUAACCGAUGGGAAUCUGGCAACAUAAAAUAUUCCAGAACCACCUAGCAAAGAAAGUGACGCAAGACUACCUACUGUAUGUGAUAAUGGUUUAGAUCAUGCAGUACGAACAUUGCCGAGAAAUAGCGAGCUAGCGUGACCGUACCGGAAACCGACACAGGUAGGUGGGUUGAGUAUACUCAGGAGCGCGAGUGAGUCGCGGUUAAGGAACUCGGCAAAAUAGCUCCGUAACUUCGGGAGAAGGAGCGCCAUCAGCGAUGGUGGCCGCAGUGAAAAGGCCCAGGCGACUGUUUAGCAAAAACACAGCUCAAUGCUAACUCGUAAAGAGGAUAAACGGCGGCCGUAACUAUAACGGUCCUAAGGUAGCGAAAUUCCUUGUCGGGUAAGUUCCGACCUGCACGAAUGGUGUAACGAUCUGGGCACUGUCUCGACCGCGAGCUCGGUGAAAUUGUGGUACCGGUGAAGACGCCGGUUACCCGCACUAGGACGGAAAGACCCCGUGAACCUUUACUAUAGUUUACUAUUGGGUUCGGCUGUAAUAUGCGUAGGAUAGGUGGGAGGCUUUGAAGCGGGCGUUGUGGCGCUCGUGGAGCCAUCGGUGAAAUACCACCCUUAUUACAGUUGGAUUCUAACCCGGCGUUGUGGAAACGUGGGGACAGUGGUAGAUGGGUAGUUUGACUGGGGCGGUCGCCUCCCAAAUGGUAACGGAGGCUUACAAAGGUUCUCUCAGCAUGGUCGGUAAUCAUGCGUAGAGUAUAAAAGUAUAAGAGAGCUUGACUGCGAGACUUACUAGUCGAGCAGGUGCGAAAGCAGGUUUUAGUGAUCCGGCGGCUCCCCGUGGACGGGCCGUCGCUCAAAGGAUAAAAGGUACUCCGGGGAUAACAGGCUGAUCUUGCCCAAGAGUUCACAUCGACGGCAAGGUUUGGCACCUCGAUGUCGGCUCAUCGCAUCCUGGGGCUGGAGAAGGUCCCAA
rnacentral:rRNA from 1 species